rnacentral:rRNA from 1 species
AUACGGAGGAUGCGAGCGUUAUCCGGAUUUAUUGGGUUUAAAGGGUGCGUAGGCUGUGCGUUAAGUCAGGGGUGAAAUGCCGUCGCUCAACGACGGAGCUGCCCUUGAUACUGGCGUGCUGGAGUACGGAUGCCGUUGGAGGAAUGAGUGGCGUAGCGGUGAAAUGCUUAGAUAUCACUCAGAACACCGAUUGCGAAGGCGUCGUACUAAGCCGUCACUGACGCUGAGGCACGAAAGCGUGAGGAUAGAACAGGUUUAGAUACCCUGGUAUACCACGCCGUAAACGAUGAUGACUAACCGUCGGCGAUAGACAGCCGGUGGCCAAGCGAAAGCGAUAAGUCAUCCACCUGGGGAGUACGUCGGCAACGAUGAAACUCAAAUGAAUUGACGGGG